UUGUACAAUGUUACUUGUUGC
rnacentral:piRNA from 1 species